UCUCUGGUGGCUCAGACGGUAAAGCAUCUGCCUGGAAUGCAGGAGACCCAGGUUCGAUCCCUGGGUUGGGAA
rnacentral:tRNA from 1 species